rnacentral:lncRNA from 1 species
GAUUCAAAAGGUUCUGCUGGAGGAUCACAUUGUGAAAACUACAGCCAUGAAAGGCCCUCCAUUUAUUGCACCCUUCAAAAACGAAAUAUUAGCAUGGGAGGCUAAGCUGCGCGACUAAUGCAGGAGAUUAUGGAAACCUGGCUGCAAGUUCAAAAGGCCCUGGUGAUGCCGGGAACCCAUGUUUUGCUCACAGGAUACAUGUAACCAAAUAUUGGUAGAAGGAAAGCACUUUGAAGUUGUCAGUAGGAACUGGAGGUUAAUAAUGAAGGAGUCAGUGAAGGAGGCCAAUGGCAUGAGGGUUAUCUCACAGCCCCAGAUGCUGGAUAAGUUGAAGGAGGCAAAAUCGCUUUUGGAUGACAUUCAGAAAGGCCUGAAUGAUUAUUUGGAGAAGAAAAGACUAUUCUUUCUAAGGUUUUUUCUUUCUGUGCAACGAUGAGCUCUUAGAAAUCCUUUCUGAGACAAAGGAUCCACUCCGAGACCAGCCACACCUAAAGAAAUGCUUUGAAGGAAUUGCCAAGCUCACUUUUAAUCAUGAGAAAGAAAUUACUCACAUGGAGUCAGCAGAAAAUGAAAAAGUAGAGCUCGUGCUGUGAAUAAUUCCAGCAAGUGCCAAGGGGCUAGUUGAGAAAUGGCUUCAUGAGGUGAAUAUCUUUAGCUCUUACUUAGGGGUUAGUUACUGUAUAAUCAUUUUCUCUUUUAGGAGCAAGGAAUAUCAUAAGCAUAUUUCCUAAGUAAAUAGCUCUGAUAAUUUAUCAGAUUAUUUGACAGAUUGAAUAUCAGCCUUAUUGUUGUUAUUUAUUACAACUAAUUGACAUGUGCAAACAUGCAAAAAUUAAUUUUAAUAAAGAGGUUAUCAGUGUGUGAGACA